rnacentral:tmRNA from 1 species
GGGGACGCGUGGGUUCGACAGGGGAGGUAGGUUACAGGAUUGCAGGCUGAGGUGCCGCUAACCUCAUAAAACCGGCGGCAAAAAUAACUGGCGAAUCUGAAUUCGCUUACGCAGCCUAAUUAAAUAGGUUGCGCGCCCGCCCAACCUCUCCUCAAUGGGUUGGGGUCGGGUGCCGAAAAUUGAGGUGCCGUCACCCGGACGUCGAUAAGGGUGGUGAAAGAAUUAUCGGCUGGCCUGGCUUUAACUCGGUCAGUAGAGGUUAGCCGGGCGAGAUUAAAGAGCUGACUAAGCCUGUAGCAUAUUCUGGGCAGCUUCUCUUGGACGGGGAGUUCGACUCUCCCCCGUCUCCACCA